rnacentral:lncRNA from 1 species
UCAAGAAUGGUAUGGAGAUGAGUAAGAGUCGUGCGGAUGGCGCCGUUUUGCAAGGCGCAGGAGCAGAUAUUGUCCUUCGCCGCCGGUGGAGUUUCUGAAUAAAGUACAGCAUGCUCAGGAUGGAGGUGCGAUUCUGCAAAAUUUUGUGAUUCAUUCUUCUUCCGACGCUGCUCGAGCUAUGUCGGCGGUGGUUUCUAAAAGAUGGGGAGAUAUGUUGGACGA